UUCACCAUUAUCCAGUAUGAGCUGGAGCUUUGUCCAGGUGGGACUCCACAAAUAGCCCAUUUCCCCCAUCACAGCCCCUUUAUUUUGUAACCAGCCAGUGCAUUGGACUGUGCUGUGGUGGUGGUGGAGAACCCAGGCUCAGCACCCCCCGAUUCCCCUGAAAAUGCUGGAGCUCCCUGCGGUGCCUGGCGCAGCUCUUGGCUCUGCCUGCACAGUCAGGGCUGUGCCCCCAGGAGCCUGCCCAGCUCUUUUCUCCCUGCUUUAGGACGCUCCUGAGGGUGCCCUCUUCCGAGUACUCACCUUGUGAACCGCUUGUGAAGUUGCCUGGCCAACGCUCUGACUUCAUCCCGUCCACGCCACCGGCUUCCCCCGGCCUCUCCAUGCGCCUGCCCCAUCUGCGCAGGCAGGAGCCCAGGGAGCAGGCAGCCGAGGGCUAUUACCGCAGAUCACCGAUGUACUCCGGCGGCAAACACACCAGCGCCAGCCCCAUGCAGCCCAUGGAGCCCCUCCUUCCAGACCCCAACAUGGUAGGGAUGGGGACGGUGGGGAUGAGGCUGGGAGAGUGAUGCUGAGCGUCUGGGGGAGCAUCUGUGCCUCAGUGUCCCCAGGAGGAGCUGGGUGGGGAGGCAGGCUUGGGGAUGCUGGAUGCAGCCCGGUGUGGCAGAGCCAGACCAUCCCCUCCUUCCCAGCCCGGCACGUACGACCUGAUGGGCAAGGAUGGAGUCUUGUACCGGGGCCGGACUUCCCCGGGGAGGGACUGAGCAAGCAACGCCAGCCUGCAGAAAUAAAGGGCGACCACCAGCCUGUGCCCCCUGAGCAGGAUCUGUCCUUCGUGCACAAGGAGGGGCCGGCAGCAUCCCCUGUCCUGAAAGCAGCCCCUGUGAAAGCCCGGCUGUGUCAGCCCCCUGGUGUCGUGCACUCCCUGGCCCUCCCGAGCCCCAGUCGUGCCCUGCCAGGGGACCCCCAAACGGGGAAAGCAGGAGGAGGAGGAGGAGGAGGAGGAGGAGGAGGAGGAGCUCUUUUGCUGCUGGAGAAGAGG